GGCGGAGGCGGGUGAUGCAGACCUCAUGCGGCGGCAGCGGAAGCGCUUUCGCUCCGCAGUGGGAGAGGCCCGCAGGUGGGGUGGCCCCUAUCCCGCCCCUCUGCCCCGGCGUGAACCGCCGUGGCCGCCCUCUGUCCCGGCCUCAACCCCCGCCGGGGGAGCUGAGGGGGCGCGCGCCUGCUGAGGGGAGCUGCCCGCCUUCCGCCGCCCGCGGUGCGAGCUGUCGCGAUAGGUGAACCGGCGCAGGGGUUUGGCACGGAGCUGCCCCGCGCGUGUCGUGACAGGAGCGUCAGCCUUACUGUGGGGACUGCCCUCAUUUCUGUCGUGACGGGAGCCUCAUCCAGCCGAAGGGAGGCUCCAGAGCAGCUAAAACUGAUGCUGGUGUGAUCCUGAAGUCAGAGCAGAGAUGCUGUGUGUCUUCUGUCAUGUGACAGAAAGCUAUAGGUGUCAGAUGAGAAGGCUGUAAGAGCAAACUGGGUUGCUGAGAAGUGCAAAGGGAAGAAAUGGGAGCAAUUUUGAUCCAGUGGACUGAACGACCUGUGAAUGGGCCAAGCGCCAGAGGAAAACAUGCACAGGCUUGGGGCAGCCAGAAAACUACUAGACAGUCACUGAGAAGCUAAGAGGGGUUUUGUCCUGUUUUGCUUUGUUUAUGUUUUCUCGUAUCUAUGUGGUUCUGAAAACCACAAUCUCCAGUCUGGAAAAUACAUAUUUUGGCUUUGUAUGGGUUUCUAUAUUCUGUUCAUCCCACUCAGUAGUGUAUUAACUUUUGUCAUAUGAUUUGUUUUUUCUCUUACUGUCUCCAUGGGAAAAAAGUGUUGGAACUGUAGUCCUUAUGUAGUGCUUAGGUUUAUUAUUUCUAUGUUUGCAUUACAUGCAGAUGAGGACCUGCAUCUUGCUUAGGAGGGAAUGGUAGCCUGAGCAUGUUCAGGAAACCUGGUGCUUCUAUGGAGCCGAUGUCAAGUGUGACGGUGGGUAGCCAUUCUGUAUCAAAGGAAAGGAUUUUCCUUAUCCUGUGUCUGAGCAGCAGGGAGGCAUUUCAGCAGCCAUUACAGUAAUUUCUGUAUCUCGGGAGGCUCAGAGUUGCUGUAGCAACCUUUUGCUAGAUAGGAAUUUGGCUGGUGAAGCCCCACAGGAAUCUGCUCCCACUCUCAACUAACCUCUCACAUCACCGAGCUCAGCUGCCAGGGAGAAACCCCAGCUGUGAGUCAGGUGGGGUGAGGGACCUCUUUCCACAGGUUCCUCACAGAACUUUCCCCUAAUUACCAGGAUCAGAUGCUUUCUGGCAGUUUUCCAUGGGGCCGGAGAUUUGCUGUGUGUACGGAGUUCUGCAAUUGUAAAAAUGGUCAUAGUAAAUUUGGAGCAUACAAACAAGCCCUUAUUCAUGCACUCACAGAUACAGAAGCUGAACAUGCAAAAGCAGGGAGUGCAGUUUUAGAGACCAGUGUGGGAAGUUUGACUGGGAGGCAGUGGUAGUUCUGGUGACACAAAAGAAGUAUUAUAAAGUCACCGAGGGGAUCAGGCAGAUGGGAACAGACUUGAGUAGGAAGGAAUACAGACAAGGUCCCCAAAGCCUGUUACUUUGAUUUGGAUAAAAAAUGAAGUGUGAAGUUGGUCAGAGCAUGAGGGGAUGCAUCACUGCUAAACCAGUUCCUUCCAAAGUGUGAAAUAGUUUCUAGAGUAAUGAAAGACAGUUUUUUGGCCUUCCAAGCUGCUGUUGGUGGAGAAUAAUAUUUAGAAGACUUUAUUUAUAGACAAUAUUGUCCAAUGAUUAGAGACAGUUAUUGUGGACUCUAGGCUUUUGUUUCUAAUUCUACAGGUGACUGCCAUCGUCAAACCACAGCACCCUGUAUCUAAAGACUAGAAAACAAUCAAUUGAAUUAAAACAAGACUUUGACAUAAUACAACUUAAGCUGGCCCAAAUCUGGUACUUCUGACAAAGAAUGAAGUCGUGCUGCCACCUUACAUCUUGAUGCUGGUUUCUAUCCCUGUAUCCUCCCUCACUGUAUAGGUACAGGCACUGGGAAGUUAUCCAUGACACAGCUGCAUCAGGAGCAAGGAACCAACUGCAGGCCUUAAACCCAGACUGAGAUGUCAGCUAUAGUCUUCAUCACUGAAGGGUUCAGUUAAGCAAGCAUGCUCGGAGCUUAUCUGACAGCUCUCAGGUAAGCUGGCCUUUCCUAGGACUGUGUACUGCCUUCUCUUUUUACUCUGUUGGAGGAAGAGGAAUUGGCAUAACUACUGUUUUCCUUUUAUACAUUGCUU